AGUGAACGCUGGCGGUGGCCUAACACAUGCAAGUCGAACGGCAGCACAGUAAGAGCUUGCUCUUACGGGUGGCGAGUGGCGGACGGGUGAGGAAUACAUCGGAAUCUACUUUUUCGUGGGGGAUAACGUAGGGAAACUUACGCUAAUACCGCAUACGACCUACGGGUGAAAGCAGGGGAUCUUCGGACCUUGCGCGAUUGAAUGAGCCGAUGUCGGAUUAGCUAGUUGGCGGGGUAAAGGCCCACCAAGGCGACGAUCCGUAGCUGGUCUGAGAGGACGAUCAGCCACACUGGAACUGAGACACGGUCCAGACUCCUACGGGAGGCAGCAGUGGGGAAUAUUGGACAAUGGGCGCAAGCCUGAUCCAGCCAUACCGCGUGGGUGAAGAAGGCCUUCGGGUUUUAAAGCCCUUUUGUUGGGAAAGAAAAGCAGCAGGUUAAUACCCCGCUGUUCUGACGGUACCCAAAGAAUAAGCACCGGCUAACUUCGUG
rnacentral:rRNA from 1 species